GAUCAACAUAAGCAAAUUUCUUUAGCAAGCUCAGCUGACAAUUUCAGUGGGUUGAUAUCCGAAAGGAUAUUUCAGUUUCUCCCUCUGCUGUGUCAUUCAUUCAAAGCGUCUCACAGCCAGGAAAUUAAGCAUUUUUAUUCUCCAAGUAGAGCCAUGCUGCUGGAGUAGCCGAACUUUCUUUGAGCACCACAGAUAGCAUCUGAUGUCCCCCAGAAUGAUAUCAAAUCUGCUCCGGAGCAGGAGCCAGCCAUCCUGUUUCUGUGUGAUCUGCAGCUGCUUUGUGUGACACCCAUCGCAGCUCUUCUGUAGCCAAGCUCUGUGGUGCCUCUCACAAAUCUGUUUCCCUCACAAAUGGCUUUAUCCACUCUGUUCUGUGCACCUGCAGACUAUGUUCAUUACAAACAGUAGGGUUGAGGGGAGAAAAAGAAUAAAGAAACAAAUAGAUUGAUAUGAGUGAUUUGAGGAGGGAGAAAGAACACCCUGCUGUGCAGAUUCUUAAGCUUAUAUUAUUGCAAAUUUGUGCUCCACCUUUCUCAAAAGGGAAGCAUCAGUGUUUUAAUAACAACACGUGACAGGCUUAAGAAAAGGAAAGACAAGAUUUUCUUGCCAUCUUCUCAGCAGGUGUGGGCAGAAUGUAUUUGCCCAUGCUGGCCAGUCAUUACCUGAGCAAAGGCUUGGUAGUGGAACAUAUGUGUGACAGAUAAUAAAUGAAGCAGGACAAGGAAUUAACUGAAGAUUUGAAAGCAACUCAGCCUAUUAAAUAAAUGAUGCCUGUCAAAGCCAUCAUCAAAGCUUCCUAAUAACAAGAAAAGGCUCCAUAUGAUGAUCUCAGAGAAAAAAAAAUUAAACUUUUGGACAAAGAGGUAGAGAAGGUAAUUGUGAAUUGAAUCCAGCUGCACAGAGAAAGUAAAUGAAAAUCAACCCCAGCUGCACCUGAUUUUCAUAAGUAUCCAGAAUUCAGUUUAGGUUUCAGGCCUAGAUGUAGUACAAUUUACUGGAUGCAUCUUAUUACCCUUGACUAAAUAAAUAAAUAAAAUUAACCACAUUUAUGCUGCUAUAACUUCAAGAAUAUGUUAUUGGCAUGCUUACACAGUGUGACAGAGCUAGACUAAUCACAUGCAAAAUAUUAAGAUAGAUGCUGAACAAAUGUGCUUGCGUCCCAAAAUGUAAUGGCUGUAUGAUGUUUAAAGUGGGUUUGAUUGUGGUGAUGUUAAGGUUACUUAAUGUUUUCCACUGUGUUCUGUUGCCAUAUCCAUGCCAAACUAUAACCUUUUCAUUGAAUAGCACAAACACAGCCAUAGGAUACGUAGUCCAGCAAACUAAGUAAUACUAUAUUGUUUGCAUUGUAAGGAUUUGUAUAUUUACAUAAUUCAGUGUUGUCAUAAUCAGUCCAUCAGUGUUUUAUGUAUUUCCAGUUUUACGAUUUUUUUCUUAGUUUAUUGUCAUUUACAUACUCCUUUCUACUCAUGAACGGUAUUGGUAUUCACUUACUGCAUUUCUUCUAAGUAAAAUAUUUAGUGUCUAAAACUGGGAGGAAAAAGAAACUAUGAGUGGAACAAAAUGAGACCUUUUCUGAAUAAAGGGCCUUGGUAUACCA